rnacentral:rRNA from 1 species
UACAGAGGUCCCGAGCGUUGUUCGGAUUCACUGGGCGUAAAGGGUGCGUAGGUGGCAUGGCAAGUUUGAUGUGAAAGCUCAGAGCUUAACCCUGAAAUGGCAUUGAAUACUACUGUGCUGGAGGUUUGGAGGGGGGACUGGAAUUCUCGGUGUAGCAGUGAAAUGCGUAGAUAUCGAGAGGAACACCAGUGGCGAAGGCGAGUCCCUGGACAACACCUGACACUGAGGCACGAAAGCUAGGGGAGCAAACAGGAUUAGAAACCCGCGUAGUCC